AAAGUUUUACCUCAGAAAUCUUCAUUUAAGAAUCAGUAACAACAUUGAGAGUCUCCUUUUAAAUGAUAGUUAGGCUUUUCUGUGUGUUCGUUCAUAGGCAUUUUACUGAUCUGAGACGUGAAAUGUAAAGUUGUGGAAUAAGAUACGUAGGAAGUGAUGUGGCCAGGAAAGAAUCAUACCGGCACAACAUUGACACCUAUCUGGAUCUCAUAACCUUCCAACUUUUUAAAAGGGUUCCACCUAGAAACGUAGUUAAUCAAAAAGACGCUCUGUGGUAAAACAGAUGCUCAACACAAGUGUUCACUGAUGGAUAAAUGGAUAAACAAAAUGUGGCAUAUACAUAGAAUGGAAGGCUAUUCAACCCUGAAAAGGAAAGGAAUUAUGACACGGGCUACGACGUGGAUGAAACUGGAAGACAUGAUGCUAAAUGAAAUAAGCCAGACACAAAAGGACAAAUGCUAUAUGAUUCUACUCAUAUAAGAUACCUGGAGUGGUCAGAUUCGUAGAGACAGAAAGUAGAGUGGUGGUGAUUGCCUAGAGCUGGGGCGUGGGGAGAAUGUGGAAUUGUCAUUUAAUGAGUGCAGAGCUUCAGUUGGGGAACAUGAAACAUUUUGGGAGGUAGAUGCAAAUGAUGACUGCACAACAAUGUUAACAUACUUAAUGCCAUAGAACAGUACACUUAAAAAGGAUUAAAAUGAUAACAUUUGUGUUAUAUAUUUUAUCACAAUAAAAAGUAGCUAAUUUUCAGUUGAAGAAAUGUAUGCUCUGGUAAAGUCUUCACUGAUAUAUUUGCUAGUAAGAACAAGUUAGGAUAGAGGCAAAGCAAGAAAAGUUUUAAAAGCUAUGCAAAAUAUUAAAAGCUAUGCAAAAAAACUACCGUAUUUUUGAAUGGGUAAUACAUGCAUAUAAUAAAAAAUGCAAAUUUUCCCACAGGGUACAUGGUGAAACUUAAGCCUCUCUCUCUUCCUAGUUCUCUAUUCAUUGGAGGCAGCAUCAUUAGCAGUUUUUGGUAGAGACUUCCAAGACAUUCAAGUAUUUAAACAUUGAUUUGUGCAAAGAUUUCUUGAGUAAUACCCCAAAAACAUAGCCAACCGAAACAAAAAUGGACAAACGGGAUCAUGUCAAGUUGAAAACUGGUCUAUAGCCAAGGAAAUUAUAUUAAAAAAAAAAACUGAAGAGAAAACCCACUGAAUAGGAGAAAAUAUCUGCAAACUAUCCAUUUGUUAAGGGAUUAAUAUCCAGAAUAUAUAAGAAGAUCAAACAACACAACAGGAAAACAAAUCUAAUAAUUUGAUUAAAAUAUGGGCAAAUAUCUGAAGAUACAUUUCUUAAAAGAAAACAUGCAAAUGGCAAACAGGUAUAUGAAAAGGUGCUCAACAUCAUUGUUCAUCAGAGAAAUGUGGAUCGAAACUACAAUUAGAAAUCAUCCUACUCCAAUUAAAAUGGCUUUUAUCCAAAAGACAGUCAAUAACAUAUGUUAGUGAAGAUGUGGAUAAAAUGAGACCUUUGUACACUGUUGGGGGAAUGUAAAUUAUUAGUACAACCACUAUGGAUAACAGUAUGAAGGUUUCUCAAAAAACUGAAAGUAAAACUACCAUAUGAUCCAGCAAUCCCACUGUUAGAUAUAUACCCCAAAGAAUGAAAAUCAGUAUAUUGAAGAGAUAUCUGCACUCCUAUGUUUAUUGCAGCACUAUUCACAGUAGUCAAGCUUUGAAAUCAAUUUAAGUGUCCAUCAACAGAUAAAUCAAUAAAGAAGAUGUGGUACAUAUACACAAUGGAGUACUAUUCAGCCAUGAAAAAGAAUGAGAUCCUGUCAUUUGCAACAACAUGAAUGGAAGUGGAGGCCAUUAUGUUAAGCGAAAACACAAAGAUAAUCUUUACAUGUCUCACUCAUUUGUGAGAGCUAAAAAUUAAAACAAUUGAACUUAUGAAGCUAGAGAGUAGAAUGAUGGUUACUA
rnacentral:lncRNA from 1 species